AUACGUAGGGUGCGAGCGUUGUCCGGAAUUACUGGGCGUAAAGAGCUCGUAGGUGGUUUGUCGCGUCGUCUGUGAAAUUCCGGGGCUUAACUCCGGGCGUGCAGGCGAUACGGGCAUAACUUGAGUACUGUAGGGGAGACUGGAAUUCCUGGUGUAGCGGUGAAAUGCGCAGAUAUCAGGAGGAACACCGGUGGCGAAGGCGGGUCUCUGGGCAGUAACUGACGCUGAGGAGCGAAAGUAUGGGUAGCGAACAGGAUUAGAUACCCUGGUAGUCCAUGCCGUAAACGGUGGGCGCUAGGUGUAGGGGUCUUCCACGACUUCUGUGCCGUAGCUAACGCAUUAAGCGCCCCGCCUGGGGAGUACGGCCGCAAGGCUAAAACUCAAAGGAAUUGGCGGGG
rnacentral:rRNA from 1 species